CUGAUUUAAUGUUGAUGUUAUACGCCAUAGCAGCAGCACAAUUAUAGCUUCUUCACGUUUGAUAUUUUCAACUUUACACAUAAGUCUCUCUAUUCAUUCCAUAACUUACCUAUUUGAUGUAUUCCACCGCCUCAAACAAGUCUCUGGUUUUUGUUACUGCUAUUAUCUAUUGUUAGGUUAGCGGUUUAUUUAUUUAUUUAUUUAUUUAAUACUUACGUGCAUUUAAUAUUAUUUGGAUGUCCAAAGGAAAAUAUAGCUCGAUAAAUGUAGCAUCUCUCUAUUAGGUCCUAUCAGAAUAAAUCAAUCCUUCAUUUAUAUUCUAAAUACUAGAUUAUUAGUGUUUAUUUAAUAGAGGUAUUACAUUCUCACCCCCUUAAAUAAAUUUUGACCUCAAAAUUUACAUACCUUGCACUUCAAACAGAUGGGGAUAUCUUUCUUUCAUUUCCUCUUCACGUUCCCAAGUCGCUUCUUCAUGAGAAUGGUCCUCCCAAAAAACCUUUACUAGGGAGACAACCUUGAAAUGUAGUAUCUUUUCCUUUCGAUCCAAAAUUUGAACUAGUUCAAUAUAUGUCAGAUCUUCCCCAAAUUCAAGUGGUUCAUAUUAUAGGAUAUGUGAUGGAAAUGAGAGACAAUAUGUGUAUUAUGUAGUGCAAGGUUACAGCAAGAGUAUUGUGUUUUAAAAAAAUCAGAUUCAGAUCAUUCUAUACUAUAUGUUAAGGAAAGCCUCAUUCUUGGUCUUUGUGAGCCACAUUUUUAGAAUUUCAUAAAUGCCUUCACACUUGAAAAUUUGAACUGCAGAUGAUCUUACACUUGAAUAAAUCAGCUAAAAUGUCCUCAACUUGCAAAAUCAAAGGUAGCGAUCUCUCAUUUGAAACAAAUCGUAGAAAUGCCCUAAGACUUAAACAAUUAUAAAGAACUCAACAAAAAUGCUUUAAAACCAUCUAUUUUCUUGACAAUUCAACUACAACAAUUCUCCAAGUUUGGCGUCAUCCACGCAUCACGUGUACCGGAGUACUAGUCCUUAAAUCAAAAGCAGGGAAUGAAGUAUCAACUUUGACAGCUCAGAGGUACAAAUUGCAACCUAAGUACUUUUAUUCUAAUUUAUACCUAAGUAAUUAGGCACAUUGCCUAAACAAUCUAGUAUAAUUAGGCAGAUCUAAUACUUGAUUAAAUUCCUAAUACUGCGUGUAUCAUCUUUUAUUUCUUAGGUCAAAUUUUACAGUCAGGAAUGAAUACAGAGGUCCUCAUUUUUCAUGAUGGCUUAUGAUGAUGCUGAGGUCAAUUAAGUAACCUGCCCUGCUUUAAGGCCAUCUGCAACCCCUGACGAUGCUAUCUUUAGCUUGUGGGACAAAAAUGGGGUUAUUUUUCUCACUUCCUUCUCAUUUUUAAAUCACUGAAGUUAAUUGGAUACAGCUUCAUCAAGCAAAAAGAACAAAUCUAGGGAUCCCCACCCUCUUCCCUCUGCGCCCAUCAUCAUUAUAAAUUUGGGAAACAAACCCAUGUAAGAAGCAAAGCCUGGAAUCGAAUUAUACCUUCGAUCCUUAAUUUGGGUACAGAAAUGAUGAAAGCCAAGAUUGAGAUUGAUACUGACAGGUUCCUAGUGAGUAUUUGACAUUGAGGAACAAGUUUUUAGAAACAAAUAGAGAAUAUAGUCUUUGACCGAGAAGUUUCAUGUUUUGUAAUCAAAUGUUGAUGUACAUUGUUUGAAUGUUAGUUCGGUACGAUAUUUUCUGAGUUGAAAUGUUGGUAGUGUGGAUUUAAUACUUUGUAGUUUUUAUACUAUACUGAUGUAUGUUGGCACUUAUCAUUAUGGUUGAUUAUGCUCAACAUAAUCACUUUUAUAU